CCAACUGCUCCUGAGCCUAACCAAUAAAUGUUGAUUUAUUUUUUUGUACAUGUGAUGGCAGAUGUGGACCUUGAGAUGAAUUCUGAAGGCAAAGAAUGAUAUUCUCCUUUGAGACCUUUGGAUGAAAUGCAUGAUGUUAUGCACACUAGUCUUUUUCGCAGCACUGCAUCUGGUUGAAAAUCGGUUAGGCACUGAGGUAAACUCCCUAUGUUAACACUAGAAGACCACAAGCUUUAUGAUGGAAGAGUGUGUGCCCUCACCUGAUAUCAAUUUAAAGAGAUAACCUGUUGGGUGGAAAUUAUUGUGUCAUUAUUCUCUUCAAACAGAAUGAACUCUUCUUAAAAUCAAAGAUAUCAAUAGGUGUGCCUGGGCAACCUUUUGGAUUAUAUAUCUAUGAAAAAUGGAGGAAUCAUCCUGAUGUAAAAGCAAAAGGUGCUUACAUUUGUGCUGGCAGCAAUAGAGAUGGUACAACAUCACACAAUGGAUCCUGGAAGCAGAUGAGUGUCAAAACAGCAUGAAAAACCCUUCUCUCACAGUGCUAAGGCUUUCCAAAUUCCCCUAGAAUAACAUACACAAUCAUUUCUGUGAAAUCAAAGCUAAUAUCCGUGUCACUCCUUCACAAAGGAAAGUAGAUGCAGACAGGAACUAAUCACCCUGUCCAGUUUAAAAUAGAGAAAUCAUCCUUUUGUUUUAGCAGAUUUCCUCUACAAUAUGUUGUUCUUGCAUGAAAACAUGCUGUGUAUAAAAUGGUUGCAUGAAAGGGUUAGCAGUUUUGAGACACAAUGGUGGACAUUGUUGAGGUUAUAACAAACAGUACAUUUAGUAAUGGAAGAGUAGGGUGUGGGUGAUGAUAUUUGGAGAUCUAGCACACCUUAGUGGAAACAGUUAGUAAUACAACGAACAUCAGGGUUUUUUGUUUUGUUUUUUAAUUUAAGACCUAGGCAAUGCUGGAGACAACUGCAUUUAAUCUGAUCUAGUUUUUAAUAAUUU
rnacentral:lncRNA from 1 species